AGAAGAAGUGAGUCCAGAUGGGGAGAUUGAAGUUUCAAAGCCAAAAGUUAAUAUGAAACUGGUUCUCAUUUUUGGUCUGUGGUAUUUUCAGAACAUUGUGUUUAACAUAUUUAACAAGAAGGUAUUGAACAUCUUCCCUUAUCCAUGGCUUCUUGCUUCUUUCCAGCUGUUUUGUGGUGCUGUUUGGAUGUUAAUUCUGUGGUCU
rnacentral:misc_RNA from 1 species